UUGACAUCCCGGGAAGCUUCAGGAAACUGGAGUGUGCCUCUUGAGGAACCCGGUGACAGGUGCUGCAUGGCUGUCGUCAGCUCGUGUCGUGAGAUGUUGGGUUAAGUCCCGCAACGAGCGCAACCCUUGUCUUUAGUUGCCAUCAUUAAGUUGGGCACUCUAAAGAGACUGCCGGUGUCAAACCGGAGGAAGGUGGGGAUGACGUCAAGUCCUCAUGGCCUUUAUGACCAGGGCUACACACGUACUACAAUGGCAUAGACAAAGGGCAGCGACAUCGCGAGGUGAAGCGAAUCCCAUAAACUAUGUCUCAGUCCGGAUUGGAGUCUGCAACUCGACUCCAUGAAGUUGGAAUCGCUAGUAAUCGUAGAUCAGCAUGCUACGGUGAAUACGUUCCCGGGCCUUGUACACACCGCCCGUCACACCACGGGAGUUGGUUGUACCAGAAGCAGUUGAGCAAACUAUUCGUAGAUGCAGGCUGCCAAGGUAUGAUUGGUAACUGGGGUGAAGUCGUAACAAGGUA
rnacentral:rRNA from 1 species